rnacentral:rRNA from 1 species
UGGGGAAUAUUGGACAAUGGGCGCAAGCCUGAUCCAGCAAUGCCGCGUGAGUGAGGAAGGCCUUAGGGUUGUAAAGCUCUUUCGGCGGGGACGAUGAUGACGGUACCCGCAGAAGAAGCCCCGGCUAACUUCGUGCCAGCAGCCGCGGUAAUACGAAGGGGGCGAGCGUUGUUCGGAUUUACUGGGCGUAAAGGGCGCGCAGGCGGCAGACCAAGUCAGGCGUGAAAGCCCCGGGCUCAACCUGGGAACUGCGUCUGGGACUGGUUCGCUAGAGAUCGGGAGAGGAGAGUGGAAUUCCCAGUGUAGAGGUGAAAUUCGUAGAUAUUGGGAAGAACACCGGUGGCGAAGGCGGCUCUCUGGACCGAUACUGACGCUGAGGCGCGAAAGCGUGGGGAGCAAACAGGAUUAGAUACCCUGGUAGUCCACGCUGUAAACGAUGUGUGCUAGACGUUGGGGAGCCUAGCUCUUCGGUGUCGCAGCUAACGCGGUAAGCACACCGCCUGGGGAGUACGGCCGCAAGGUUAA